rnacentral:rRNA from 1 species
GAUGAACGCUGGCGGCGUGCCUAAUACAUGCAAGUCGAGCGAACAGACGAGGAGCUUGCUCCUCUGACGUUAGCGGCGGACGGGUGAGUAACACGUGGAUAACCUACCUAUAAGACUGGGAUAACUUCGGGAAACCGGAGCUAAUACCGGAUAAUAUAUUGAACCGCAUGGUUCAAUAGUGAAAGACGGUUUUGCUGUCACUUAUAGAUGGAUCCGCGCCGCAUUAGCUAGUUGGUAAGGUAACGGCUUACCAAGGCGACGAUGCGUAGCCGACCUGAGAGGGUGAUCGGCCACCCUGGAACUGAGACACGGUCCAGACUCCUACGGGAGGCAGCAGUAGGGAAUCUUCCGCAAUGGGCGGAAGCCUGACGGAGCAACGCCGCGUGAGUGAUGAAGGUCUUCGGAUCGUAAAACUCUGUUAUUAGGGAAGAACAAAUGUGUAAGUAACUAUGCACGUCUUGACGGUACCUAAUCAGAAAGCCACGGCUAACUACGUG